UGGGGAAUAUUGGGCAAUGGGCGAAAGCCUGACCCAGCAACGCCGCGUGAGGGAAGAAGGUUUUCGGCUUGUAAACCUCUGUCCUUGGUGACGAACACAAUGACGGUAGCCAAGGAGGAAGCCCCGGCUAACUCCGUGCCAGCAGCCGCGGUAAUACGUAGGGGGCAAGCGUUGUCCGGAAUGACUGGGCGUAAAGGGCGUGUAGGCGGCCGAUUAAGUCUGGAGUGGAAGUCCUGCUUUCAAGGUGGGAAUUGCUUUGGAGACUGGUUGGCGUGAGUGCGGAAGAGGCAAGUGG
rnacentral:rRNA from 1 species